AGCGAACGCUGGCGGCAGGCCUAACACAUGCAAGUCGAACGAACCUUUCGGGGUUAGUGGCGGACGGGUGAGUAACACGUGGGAACGUGCCUUUAGGUUCGGAAUAACUCAGGGAAACUUGUGCUAAUACCGAAUGUGCCCUUCGGGGGAAAGAUUAAUCGCCUUUAGAGCGGCCCGCGUCUGAUUAGCUAGUUGGUUGAGGUAAUGGCUCACCAAGGCGACGAUCAGUAGCUGGUCUGAGAGGAUGAUCAGCCACAUUGGGACUGAGACACGGCCCACACUCCUACGGGAGGCAGCAGUGGGGAAUCUUGCGCAAUGGGCGAAAGCCUGACGCAGCCAUGCCGCGUGAAUGAUGAAGGUCUUAGGAUUGUAAAAUUCUUUCACCGGGGACGAUAAUGACGGUACCCGGAGAAGAAGCCCCGGCUAACUUCGUG
rnacentral:rRNA from 1 species